GUGAAAUUGUUGAAAGGGAAACGAUUGAAGCCAGUCGUACCUGUGCGUAAUCAGCCUUUUGGGUGUGAUUUUGUGGAGUGUGCGGAGUUAAACGCCUUCAUGCCUGCAUAUUCGUGCACUUUGGGUGUAUUUACCCGUGUGGUAAGUUAACAUCAAUUUCGAUGGUCAUAAAAUGGCUGGAGGAAUGUAGCUUCGAUCUCGUAUUGAAGUGUUAUAGCCUUCGGUAGAUGCGAUAAUCGGGAUUGAUGAUUGCAACGGAUACCCUUCGGGGCUACCUUUCUGAUCUCUGAUCGUUGCGCUGGUGCCGAAAGCUUGCUUACGGUUAUCAAAGGCGAUGGUCAAUAGGUUAGAAUGGGUUAAAUUCGUUAAGGAUGUUGACGUAAUGGCUUUAAACGAC
rnacentral:rRNA from 1 species